rnacentral:rRNA from 1 species
AGGGAAGCAAGACCGCGAGGUGGAGCAAAUCCCUAAAAAGCCAUCCCAGUUCGGAUUGCAGGCUGAAACCCGCCUGUAUGAAGUUGGAAUCGCUAGUAAUCGCGGAUCAGCAUGCCGCGGUGAAUACGUUCCCGGGCCUUGUACACACCGCCCGUCACACCAUGAGAGUCGGGAACACCCGAAGUCCGUAGCCUAACCGCAAGGGGGGCGCGGCCGAAGGUGGGUUCGAUAAUUGGGGUGAAGUCGUAACAAGGUAGC